rnacentral:piRNA from 1 species
CGGGAGGCUGAGACAGGAGGAUC